GCCACACAACUUUCUCUGGUUUAUCCAUUCCAGGAAUCUCAAUCCAACAAAUCUUAUCAUACCAUCAUAUCAAUCGCGCAAAGCGUAUUGCCAUAUCCCACACCAAUUAUGUUGCUACUAUACCAGUAAGUACUUGAUGUCCAGCAUGGAUGCUGGUGGAGAGGAACCGUUUCCUGCUAGCACACGACGGUUGAACAAGUCCAGGAGCACUCGUCUAAGCGGUAAGAAUUUCACUGUGUGGCGCGACGGCAACCUUCGCUGGUUCUGCUGAUUUUUCCUCUUGUGCCUGUGAUGGUCCAAACAAUCUCCAGUUAAGCUUUUUGACAGUUCACUUGUUUGGCAAUUGGCAUACGAAGAACCAAGCUAGAUAGGGUAGAGAACUAAUUCAAGAUUACUACUGUAGCAAAUAUGGGCACCACGGGGAGAUAGUCAUCUUACUAUAAUAUUUGAACAUAUAAACAAUGACUUUGUGUCUAUCUCAAAGGCCUGAAAGCAAUAAAGCUAGGAUAUGUAGCGACUAAUCAAUUUUUUGGACUGUUUGGUCUGAUUGUAUUAGAAGGUAAUGUCCAACCAGCCAACAAGUCAAGUCGUCCUAGAACUCAGAUGUGAGGAAGUAAAUGUUGCAGUCAAGAAAACUCUCAAAAUUAAGAAACCACGCCAAAUAUGAGAGGUAAGCGUCACAAAGGUAGAGCUGUAACUUUUCAUGGUUUUCUAGGUAGACUCAGAAAGCAGGUAAAAAAAGUAAAUUAUGCUUUCAAAAAGUUGCCCAAAUUAUGGAACACGCCAAGUAAAGAGAAUACACAGACAGAUUUAUCAUUUAACAAAUUGAAGAAACAUACCCUUCUAGUGGAGCCACCGUAUGCUUCUAGCUCUCUCUUUGCAAAGGUUGGAAGAACAAACGCUGCCCUAUGCAUCUGGUCAGCAGCCAAAAAAACAAAUCAGUGUGCUUAUGGAUGGCAAUGAAUCGUAAUGCCAGAUUUCUCACGUCUAAGUUGGAGUGGAGUAUUUUUUUAAAAUAAACAUGAGGUAUAUACAGUAACUUGCGACUUGCAGAGCAUGAAAUCAUUGCAGCAGAAAAUUCGAGGAAUAUUAGAAUUCUGCAUCAUUUUAUUAGGAGUAUACUACAGUAUAUACCAAGACAAAAGCAAUACAGUAUAUUGUAAAAUUGGCAGGAUAGGUAACUUUCUAAACAGAAAAAACCUCUGUAUUAUAAAAUCUGAUGUCCCUCCCUGCUGUCAUAGCGCCUUCUAGUUUUUCGAUUGGAUUUAUGGGUGCCAGGAAGUUGACUGGUGGACCCUCUUUAGCACAUAGCAAAAACCCAAUUGCACCACUGCAAAUCAAGUAAAUGUUGUGUUACAAGUAAAUUUCAAAAGGAGCAACAUUUAGCACGUCAAAGACUUCAUCUAAAGCUGCAGCUCAGCAACAUUUGUUUCUCACAACCAGCAGCUCUUAAUGCGUAUACUAAGAGGAAUGGCAGCCAGCAAGGGUUGCCUAAUCAAUGAAAUUCAGAUAUAUUAUGUUUUAAUUUUUUGUACCAAAUUUACAAGGGCAGCUGACACCAACACCUAAUAACAGUUGUUUAACUAAAAGGUUAAAAUUGGCCCAACUUCUCUUUCUAGGAGGAAUAUGCCCUGAACUCCCAAGAUAAAAUAGCAUCCCUAACAGCAUUUAUCUUUCACAAAACAGCAAUACAAAAUCUCUUAUUUGAUGCCGAUGUGGAAUAUGCAACGUGUCGAAUAUCUCCAUCUCUUGUCUCUUGAUGUGUUUCUGAACACAGCAUAUCAGGAUGGUUUUUCAUUUGCUUAAUAUAAAUCAGGAAUGUAUUCAUGGCAAAAAUACCUAUCCAAUAAUAAUAGAAGACUGCUCAAAGUAAAUAACUGGUGCAACAAAAAAUAAAGAAAACAUCAAUAGCUUCAAUAAAAUGUUCAAUUUGCAUAAAGAGGUUUAGGGUUUGAUGUUUGAUCCACCACAGUGCCAAACGGGUCCAUAUAGGUUACAAUUGGUCACUACUGUAAAAUUUCAACAUCUCGCAUCAACCAGCUAGCACGACGUAAACCAGGUAAAAUGUAUAUAUAAUGUUGGGAAUAUUUUCUCACUAAUAUUUUGUCACAAUAAGACGCUCCUUGCAUGAGUUUAGCUAAAUCUGAAACAUCCUAUCAUUGAUUGCCCAGCGCUGCAACCAAUUUAGCUGCCAACAAUAGUGACACCCAUGAGGCCAUGAGGAUGAAGCCAGAAAAGUAGUGCACCAUUAGAACUAACCAAGUCCUAUGUGCCACCACACUACUAAACUCCUCUCGCUGAGAUGUCAAAAAACAAAGAAUGUGUAUGCAGCAAGCUUAUUCCAAGUCCCUAGUAUGUGCAUCUACCCAACUGAGAAUAGCACAAUAAGGAAUUUGCACGGCUUGCAUCCAUUAACAAAAGAAGAAGAAAAAGCAAGGAAACACAACAAACCAUACCCAUAUAUGUUAUGUCUUAUGUGGUAACGGUUUCAGUAAUGAAAAGCUUUAUUGUUUCAUGCCAUCUAAUAUAUCUAAUCUACAUGGCAUAUAAAUACAUGAACUGCGUUACAACCAAAUAAAAAGGCUAAGUCUAUACUAAUAGGUGCAUGCUAAAUUUAACACAUCAUGUGGCUUGGCUGUUGCUAUGAGAUAUAAUAGCAAACUGCCAAAUCUAUCAAAACAUAAAUAAGCAAACUUGUGUUCAAAAUAUAUACAGGGAUGGCAUAUGCUUUUAUUAUGAUCCAAAACAACGAAAUUGACCUAACAGCACUUCGAUGGGAAAAAAACAAAGAAAAAUUACAGGUACAGUUAUAAAAAUACAUAGUUUUAUUUCUCUAUUUGCAAUUAAAUUACUUUACAUAACAGUGGUGCAAAAACUUUUGAGCAGAUGAUGCAAAAAUAUGGGUGGAUAGUUAGUAUGUAACUCAGAAGUUGUUCGAAAGGAAAAAAAAUCAGAAGUUGAAACAGAAUGUGCAGUAGCUUGCAACAUGAAACAUUAACCUAAGCAAAGACCACAAAACAGGCGUGCAUAAGAAAUUGAUGGAGUAUAUGGAAAGGGUGAAAACCUAGGAUAUGUUGGGACACUUGCCCAGGCAUAGUGGACAGAACCCUUGAAAGUCUCACAGCAGAUCGAAAGCAUGUCCUGAAUCAGAUGUGUAUGCAACCACAUACUCUCAGCUUGAUUACAAAGAACACCGCCAGGUCUCAAAGCUCUAGCAAUUGUCUCAAAAAAUGGCUUCUCUACAAGUUCCUGAGCAGGCCCUGCAAUUGACAGUGCCGAAUGGAUAAUGUAAAAACGGCAAGAACAAAGAUAAAUACUCAUGCUUUUAACUUGUCAAAAAAGAAGAUAUGCCACAGUUGCAUAAGCUGACCUAUAGGAUCUGAUGAAUCAACAAUAAUAGCAUCAUAUGUCCCUUCAGGAGAAUUUCUUAGGAACUCCACAGCUGGAAGGAAAACAACUCCAGUAUGAAAUUUACAACAUCAACUUAAAGCUACACCUAGUGGUUGCAAAUAUAUAUGAUAUUUACAACAUCAACAAGUACUGUUGUAGUUAUGGCCUCGUGGGAUUAUCAACAUACCAUCACCAACAUGAAGUCGAACACGAGGAUCCUUAAAUCCAACAGAUAAGUCUGGGAAGAAAUCUUUACAAACCUACACAGUAAGAUGCAUGUCAGAAAUUUUAAUAACAUGGUUAUAUUUCUGCAUAUAGGUCAUAUGAGAAUUUUGUACAUCAAUAACUAGCUGAUCAAUUUCACAUAUAUCAAUAGACUCCACUGAACCAUGUCUGGCUAUCUCUCGAAGUACACCACCAUCUCCACCUCCAAUAACCAAAACCUGCAAUGUAGUUUCUAAGAACAUAAGUGACUGUGCUACAUUUUCAAUGGAAAUGCAGAUAAGAAAGGUUAAAUCUGCUGCUAUAUAGCAGCAGAAUAUCGUCAAUACAAUUUCAAUCAUUAGAUCAAAAGAGUCAUAUAAUUCACUGUAUAAGAAGGAACAUAGAUCACACGAUUACCUUCUUAGGAGAAGGAAUUGAACAGAGUGGGAGAUGAGUAAUCAUUUCCUGGUAGGCACAUUCAUCCUUAUCAGUCAAUUGUACAAUACCAUCAAGCGCAAGGACUUUUCCAUAGGUUAACGACUGCAUACAAAAACAACCAGGUUACACAAAAGAAGGCAAACACAAUUUUCCCUCUGGGUGUUAAUAGAUGAUAGAUGAAGAUAACCUCAAAAAUCAAGACUUCUUGGUAUGGUGACUUCCCCUGGUACAGGAUCUUUUCCACUUUCAAGGAAUGGGUCUCUCCUGAGUAGGGAAAAUGAAAUCACAAUGAAUGAGCAAGAAGUGGGGCUUGUUUCAUUGCACAAGUAAAUGCCCGAGAAAAAUGAGAAGUGAGAUGGUAAAGAGCAAUUGGAAAAUUCAAUGUGCUUGACGCGCAUAGUACAUGUAAACAAAUUGUAUCUUUGCAGAAACAAUUGAACAUACUUAAGGACAAGAAGUCAAGAUUCCUGAGUAUAACCAACACACACAUGAUUCGGUGAAACAUAAACACGUUAAGGAGGUCAGGAAUGAAACUAGUGCCAGAGACAUGCGCAAGAGAACUGGUAUGUAUUUGUAAAAGAAACAGUUGGGGUAACACAGAUGAUUCAAUGUUCAAAUAAAAAAAUUUAAAAAUUCCAGAGGUCCGGAUAUAUGAAACAGAACAAAAAUCCAUAAGAGUUUUGUUUCGGAAGGACUGAAAUUAGACACGAAAACCAUUGACAAAGAAAAGGCAACAAGUAGCACUGGGCUGCAUAUGCUCUCUAAUCAGAUGAUGACUAAAGAGGAAAAUUACACAAACUCAGAUCACCACUUCAGCAUGGAAAAGCAACAGUGUGCCACUGGUAUAACAAACUAAUGAAGAGAACACAAUGCCUGCUUGUGGUAAGCAUGUUACUAUGUUAGAUCAACUUUGUCCACCUCUUUCACAAUGACCGUGUCAAAAGGGGUGUGUUGAGUAAGUACAUUGAUAACAUAACUAAAAACUAACCAAAACCAUUUGUUUAAACAAAAGUGAAGAGGUUGUAGACUCAUAUUUAUCAAUAGUAAGAAUUUCUCUUGUCAAUACUGAGCCAGGCUAAAUUAUUUUCCCAAAACAGAAAGGCAAAAGCAUUCAUUAAAAAUCCAUUUUAUCGAUUCAGCACUAAUACCAUGCCUUAACAUCAAUGCAGGCAUGCAUCUGUUCAACCAGUAAUCAAGUGUCUACCAGAAUAGCAUUUUGUCGCAUGAACGGAUGUAGAAAACUUAACAUUACAUUCCUAUUGUGGAUUAUUAUUUUAAUGACAGGUAUAACCAUCAAGCAAUAGAAAAAGAAGGCACCGGUGAGGGAAAUACCUGGCCACAUUGGAUUAUUGUAAUACUGCAGUUUGUUCGCUUUACCUGCAUAUGAAGCAAUCAAAUUUAGACAAAAUAACUGGAGAAUGAUAGGAAGUUAUAGUAUUUCUGUUGUCAAGUACGAGUAGCAAGGAUGAUGCAAUUGAGCACCAAGCUGGACAUACCACAUCGUGAGCGGGUCUCCGUGAACCAUCCCGAUACCACAGUGGCAUGGCACUUGGCCUCAGAUUCAGGUGCUGCAGCCCUCGCCUUGACACAGCAAGGAGGCAGUGGCUUUGCUGGGGUCUCAACCCCACUUCCCGUUGUCUGUGAUGUCCCAGUCAAACCAUUUCUUGCGUCUCCACCCUCCAUGGAUCCUGUUCUUUGAAGUUCCCAGCCUCUGAAUCAAAGGAAAACCACAAAGACUUGAAGGGACAAUAACUAUACAACACAGGAGAAUACACAAUUUCUGCAGGAAACUUGGCACUAGAUAGUAAAUCAAAUAAGAUUAUGAUACCCAAACGCACAUUUGCGCAAGAAAAUGCAGGUCGUAAUGAAUGCCAAAAGAUUACUGACACACAUAACAAGCAUGCGCAAUGACAGACAUAUAAGUGGAUGAGAAACUCAGUACACAUGCUCUGCAAGGCUCAGCAACACCAAGGUUUACGAGUCGACGAGUCGUUCCAGGGUUGAGACUCAUAGACCAAUCGUGACUAGUCUAGUCUAUGCUGGACUAGUCGACGUGGUACUGUAGUACUCAGCUACUAAUACCAAGUAGUAGCCAUCGUUUUUAAGGCCUAACCCCGCCUUAUUCUUGAGGCAGACAUAGAAGAAACAGAGAGUCAAGCAGUUUAGCAUGUACCGUAUAUUAUUGCAAGGAAAAAUAAGAAAGACUGGGAGAUUAGGCCACUACCUAUGCCCUUCUUUGUGGCCCAAAAGCCCAUCUACUAGCUAUAUAUUCCCCCCGUGACCUAAUUCUACUCUCCUCACUCACUUCUCCCUGCACCACAGCCGCCACACACCUUCUGCUCUCUUUCCUCGUAACAGCACACAACCCUAAAACUCCUCCCUGCUCAUCAUGACCCUAGUCUUCUCUGAUUCUCCCUCACUGCAGCACCCUCCUUCAACGGCAGAGUAGAUCCGGCAAGGGAAGGAACAGAACCAGCGGAGGGAGAGCGGAGCAAUGCUACUUGCCACCGCUGCCGGCGGCGGCGGGUCAGUGGGUGCUGGCGGCAGCCUCGUCCCAGGUGCGGCCCGUUCUAGAGCAAGCCUGAAAACCUAGCUCCAAUUUUACCCUCCCACGGCUGCGAGCUGGCUCACUUAUCCCCUCCCAAAUUUGAGUCGAGCGACUCAUAGAGCACGACUAGUCCAGACUAGUCUACUAGAGCCUCUCGACAGCUCAACUCGGCUUGGUAGUCUACAUGAGAAUCCUAGUCGACAUUCACACUGCGACUCAUAGACUAGUCCCUCGACUAGUCCUUCAACUCGUAAUCAGUGAGCAACACACUAACCUAGUAUUGAUUACAAGAAAAUGGAUUUUAAGAGCAGCAUGCAUUGAUCGCAAGAACUGAGAACCUUUUCAUAAGAGAUGAGGUUUUGGAGCUAACGAGCGUUGCCCGCUUAAUGAAAGAACCGAUUUUGAGCCGAUACCAGAAGUGGAAAAGAAAAAAGGAGCGGCAAAUACAAGAGGAUUUUACGUUUGGGGUAGGAUAGGAUUCCAGAAGCUCCUUGUGAAUACGGUCUGACCUGUGAAUGGUGAAUCGAGGUAGGGCAAGGAUGUGGCUGCACAAGGUAAGAAGAAAUAAGGGCAGGACGGGGAGCACAACGGUGGUGGCUUCUCUGCUACUCCUCCAGACACGAAAUUCUGCAACUAGCUACCGGUGGAGCUAGAAUCUUGAUGGAUCAACAACUUUCAGGAUCUGCGCUGCUCAAUGUAUUCAAUGCAUUUUGAGUUGAUUGCCGUAUUGAGUUGAGGUGAGGUGAGGUGAGUAGCUGGGCAGCUAGUGCUACAGCACAAUGUCAAAAUUAAAUGCCCAUUUGUGCGCUAGCAUUAACUUCUAUCAAAUUUAUUAGGCGCUGUUUCAUUUACUUUGGAGUAACUUUCUUAUUGACAGUGUGAUGCCCCAGCUAUCACCUUCCUAGUCAUUUCCAUCCCUCCAUUGUUGAACCGUGUGGAAAUGUUGUGCUCCGCAUUUGAUUAUGUCGCAACUAUACGGUAGUAGCUUCUAAAGUUGAGUGCAUUGGCAGAUUUAUGCUUAAUGCUACAAAGCAUAACAGAACCAGGACAAAAAUAAAAUAAAAGCAAACAGUUCAAGUACAUGACCCAAGAAAAGUGCACUAAAAGUCAUAUCCAGGUUUGCCUGAUUCACCAUUCCAACCAGUUUCUCAUCUUAAGAACAUUACAUGGUGUCACAAGGUAAGUGCUCUGACACAUGUAAAUUCGAAACCAUUUGAGUGUCCCAACUACUAUGAAAUAAGAGCUCUGCCAAAUCGUGUUCACUCAGGUCAUUCCAACCCCACAUAGGUCUCCCUAGCAUACGAUUCGACUGUAUAAACAAUUUUAUCCCGUUUGUAUUGCAAUUCAAAUCUCACAAAUAGGUUGGUGGCACAUGUCACCAAACAGACCUGGACGUCCCUCUCUAUCUACUUUUUUUUUCUUCCUGGAGUAUAUAGCUGCUGUGGGGUGUAGUGAGAUGGCCAAAAAAUGGGGCAAAGCCAUGAAGGAGAUGGCAAAUUGAAACGGGGAAAAUGAAAUGGAGAGGAGCUCCUUCUGGGAGUGUGGCCAUGGAGGGUAAUUUCCGAUAGAUAAACUAGCCAAUCUAUCGGAUGAAAGCAUGCAAGUUUGCAGAGUUUGUCACUGUAUCGACAUGCCCUAAUCCAUAAGUAGCUACAUGAUGAUACGAAGAUAGAACAUGUCCGGCUGGCAAAAUCAACAAAUCUGCGAAGCGUGAACCGCAUGAGUAGAACCAAACCGACGGCGAGCUUUACGUGGUCGCGGAACAGGCGCUGCGGGGUGGGGGGAGCCGACGACGAAGUUGGAGCGCGGGAGAAGGGAGGCGGCGCAACCCUACCGGCUGGCAGCGGCGACGCUUGAUGCCAGGCAAAAUCGGGGUCGAACUGCGGUGGCGGAGGUCGACUGAGCGGCGGCGGGGAGCCGGAGGCGGGGCGGCAGGGAUGGGGUGGCGGCGCCGGUGGAGGGCCGUAGGAAUGCGGCGCGGGUCCUCAGUCUGGCCGAGACAGUAGCCUUGGUCUUAUCGGAUUCAACCCGUCACCGUUGGGUUCAGGGUUCAGACCGUGGUUUGGACCCGCUUUGCCUGGUGAAAACCAGACCGGUCCAGAACCAUCCAGUCCACCGUAGAACGCGAUCAAACCGCCGCCUAGGAUUUUUUUUCUUUUUAGGCGAAAUAUUGCUGCAUUUAUUUAAACAGAGCUCGGAAUGUCGUCCGAGAUUUACAUCUCUAUAUCUAUAUCUAUAUCUAUACUCUUAAAAAAACUGAAUUGAUGAUGAUAAUGUGUCUGUCAUCUUGCAAUUUAGAUCGUCCGACCACCAAUCAUCACCGCGCCCCACCCCUCCUCACCUUAUCUCACAUCUUUCUCGAUAUAUCAUUUUUUUGAUGAAAUUCUCGAGAUAUCAUUUUUUUCGAUGAAAUUAUCGAGAUAUCAUUAGUUUUUACGCAUGGGAUUACUCCUGCAUAGGUCAAUCACAACAGGUGUUUUGUAAAAAAAUGCAUCUUGAUGUUCCGUGCAAUGCACGGGCAUCAUGCUAGUCCAACACAAAGUCUUGGGGAACCCCCAUCCACACCUUACAUAGUUCAUCAGCAACACCUACCUUAGCUAAUUUAUGUGCAGCAACAUUUGCCGAACGACUAACCCACGAGACUCUAAAGUCACUCCUCGUGUGUAACAUCCGUUUAAUCUCCUGAAUCCAAGGCCCAGUCUCGGAAUAGUUCAUUCCAGGUUCAUUGAUCAUCUGAACCACACUCUUACAGUCCAACUCAAUAUGAACUCGAUCAACAUUCAACUCAAUCGCUAAUUGAACAGCUCUUUGCACGCCAGAACUUCAGAUAUCUUAGGGCUUCCAAUACUCGGGAAGAAAUGGCUAGCACCAGCAAUGAAAGCGCCAUAAUGGUCAUGUGUUACAACACCACUCCCCCCUUUACCUCCAGUCCUCGAGACCACACCAUUAAAAUUUAUUUUCACCCAACCCUGGUCCGGCACCGCCCAUUUCUGCACCUGCUUUAGAUGGACAUCACGAACCUUUGGCUGGUGAGAUAGCUUCCAUUCCUGCAUGUGUCGUAAAACAGAAACCUGUUUCAUGUGGAUGCGCAAUUUGUUUUCCACCCUCGCCUCGUUUCUCACAAGCCAAAUACCGUAUACUGCAUGGAUCAUUGUUUCCUUCUCAUCAUCACCCGCACCAGCAAACGAGUUCAAAAGCCAACGAGCCAGUGCUCAUUGGUAUCCAUUGGGGCUGGUGGAGAUGCCAUGCCCGCCCCUGUCUCAGAUUGCAACAUCUGCCAAAAAAGAGUCGAGUGGUGACACGACCAGAACCUGUGAAAGAUUGUCUCUUCUCUGCCACAAACAUUACAGAAAACACCCGGUUUAAUCCGACGCUGGUGUAGUUCAUAGCCAACCGCUAACCCAUUCCUGAUCAUCCUCCAUGAACGGAUCUUCGCUUCGUUCGGAGUACUUGUACCCCACAACGCAAUAAAACCCUUAUGCCGGUCUAUGGAACUGGAAGGCUCAGGCCGACCAGACUUGCAUUUUUUCAUGUCCAUUCGAAGAUGAUAAGCCGACCGAACAGUAAAGACUCCAUUGUUCAUAAAAUUCCAGACCAAGAAGUCUGCCGUUCCUAGUCCUCCCACAGCAAUUUGUUCGAUAUCCGCAGCAUCCGAUUAUGUAAACAUGUUAUCAAUCCUUGCCAUAUCCCAAUCAGUUCCAUCUUGGUUGAGCAGAUCCGCAACCUUGGUGAUACCAUGCAUAUACCGCCACCUAGGAUUGUUUGUUUGGAGCCCUGACUAUCCACGUUAAGGCCCUGUUCGGUACGUAGGAAAAGCAAAGGAAAACACACAGGAAACACAUUCUCGUGGAAUCGUUGCGUUUUGUCCGUUCGGUAUGAAGGAAUAGACUCGUUCCAAUCCGAUGGAAAGUUCCGAUCUCCAGCGUUUUUAUGGGAAAGAAAACAUCCACCCAUAGCUCUUGUUUUGGCGUUGGCCCGAGGCAAUCGAGGGAAAGGCUGCUGCGAACCAUGCGCAAUUUGGACCCACAUGCACGUGAACUGCAGCUGGUGCUCAUCUUUAUAGCAUUUAAAAAUUACAAGAUGGGACCCACAUGAUCUGAUUUCCUCUGAUUCGAUUUCCUCUGUCCCGAACGGCAAUUCUGUAUGCAGCAUGGCGAUUUUAUUCCCUGUGUUUUGUACCUCUAUUCCUUUCCAGUUUUUGGGUUUUUUCCCUAUCCUAUGCUUUUCUUCCCUUUGUUCCAAACAGAGCCUAAAAUUUGGACACUGGUAAGUGCCAUACGUGUGGCAUGAACACAUGGCAACUCCGAACAUUUUUUUAUGAUAAGUUUAGUGACGCUUUAGUUGUCAAGCAUGGCAACUUUCUUUUUGGAUGGCAAGUUUUAGCUUUUUAGGGUUUAUUUUUUCUUUUUUGAUGGCAACUUUAGUUGUAAAAAUGUAAGGGCCGGAGUGCUUCGUGCCACAUGUGUGGCAUUUAUUAUUUUGAUUAAAUUUUGCACGAGGACCCAAUCAAAUAUUUUAUAAACUCUAAUUAUUCUUUUUUCGAAAAGAACUCCAAUUAUUCGGAUUACAACAAUGGUAUCUAAUUUUUUUUCAUCAUCGCAUGCAGAUCCAAUCAAAUAUUCUAUGAACUCUAAUUAUUCGUAUUACAACAAUGACAUCUUUUUAUUUCCCUUUUUUGCAGGACUGUUUUUUCUAUCACAUGGAUGCACAUGCACUCACCCUUAUGAACAUAUAUGGUGGUGUAUACAUACAGAGUAGAGGGAAGAGGCAUGGAAUGAAGACACCUAGCCUAGAGGAUUUAGGGGGGGGGCAUGGGGAGAAGAAGCACUUACCGAGAGAAGAUCAAAGACGGGGGAGACUUAUAUGAGACCUCACAUUAGGUGGGAUCGUAAAUGUCAACCCUAAAAAUUUAUAUUUAGACAUUUCGAACAAAUCUAAACUUAUUUGACAACAUUCCUAUAGUGCAUUGAUACGUCUCCACCGUAUCUACCUUUUCAAACACUUUUGCUCUUGUGUUUGGACUCUAAU
rnacentral:lncRNA from 1 species